ensembl:lncRNA
ACAAUAAACAGGUUCAAAUGGAGGAGCUGAAAACACCCUCUUACCUCCACCAGAUUGUUACCUGACCAAAUGUAGGUCCCCUCACCCAACUCACAGCAAAGCCAACCCACUGGGCACUGGAUGUGAUGAAGAUUUUCCAGUUAUGAGAGGCUGCGGCAGGAUGCCAGCUCAUAAAUGGAAACCCACACUCCGUUUGUGACUCAAGCGACUCCAGGUGCAGUGCUCUCGAAUCAGAUGGACUGAAGGUGUGACUGCUGCGUCCUCUGAAGACCCAGAUGGAGCGGUCUUCUCACCUUCUCCCCUACCCUCCUUUCCAACGCUGGCGCCGAGCAGCAGCACACUGAGGCUGGGGGCCAACAGGGCCCAAAUAAAGACACUUUUCAUUCGUAAGAGGGGAAGGAAAGACAUCUGAAGGGCGUUUAGGCUUCAGGGGCUUUAUAAACUCAAGUCACCCUUGAAAGGUUUAUGUGAUGCUUUCUAAUCACACCUAAGAAUGAGGCUCCUGGCUCUUGUUUCUGGUUGGAAGUGAUUAACACUGCUCGUGAAAUUUAGAAGCUCAUCAUUUAAAAAAAAAAAUAAAUUGACACUCCUAAGAAAUUCCUCUGUAGGAGAAAAUGAGACUUGCCAAACCAGUAUAACAAUGGGAAGGUCGUAUUUUAAAGAGAGACUCAGGCCGUUCUUCCUUCAGCCUCCUGAGCCCUGAGCCACUGUGUUGGUCACAGUGGGGAUUCAGUCCUGCCAAGGGCAGCGAAGGGCUAGUGGCCGAGGCCCUCUCCUGAGCAGGUCUGGACCAGACCCAGCUCAACGGCAAGUCCGUCUCAGGUGCCGCCACGUCCAUCUGGCCACAGAACCAGCAGUAGUAACUGGCAGAGUCAGAACUCCAGGUAGUUCUUCUCCAGAGACCCUGCUCCCUGCCACUGCUCACCAUUUCUGUCAUCAGCAAGACUUUUGCGAGAUCCCCUUCUGGAUGAAAGCUCUGUUGGUAUUUUAGGAGGCUGAGGGAGAUGAGGAAAACGGGUAAGAGCUAGGGAUAACCCCCUGAUGAUUUCAGUCUAUUUCUGCUAACUCAUGGGCUUCCCC